rnacentral:rRNA from 1 species
UACGUAGGGGGCAAGCGUUGUCCGGAAUCACUGGGCGUAAAGGGCGCGUAGGCGGCUUUGUAAGUCGGGGGUGAAAGCCUGUGGCUCAACCACAGAAUUGCCUUCGAUACUGCAUGGCUUGAGACCGGAAGAGGUAAGUGGAACUGCGAGUGUAGAGGUGAAAUUCGUAGAUAUUCGCAAGAACACCAGUGGCGAAGGCGGCUUACUGGUCCGGUUCUGACGCUGAGGCGCGAAAGCCAGGGGAGCAAACGGG